rnacentral:rRNA from 1 species
AUUGAACGCUGGCGGCAGGCUUAACACAUGCAAGUCGAGCGGGGACUUCGGUCCUAGCGGCGAACGGGUGAGGAAUGCUUGGGAAUCUGCCCAGUAGCGGGGGAUAACGUUUCGAAAGGAACGCUAAUACCGCAUACGCCCUACGGGGGAAAGGGGGGGAUCUUCGGACCUCUCACUAUUGGAUGAGCCCAAGUCGGAUUAGCUAGUUGGUGGGGUAAAGGCCUACCAAGGCGACGAUCCGUAGCUGGUCUGAGAGGAUGAUCAGCCACACUGGAACUGAGACACGGGCCAGACUCGUACGGGAGGCAGCAGUGGGGAAUUUUGGACAAUGGGCGCAAGCCUGAUCCAGCAAUGCCGCGUGCAGGAUGAAGGCCUUCGGGUUGUAAACUGCUUUUGUACGGAACGAAAAGCCCUGGGUUAAUACCCUGGGGUCAUGACGGUACCGUAAGAGUAAGCACCUGCUAACUACGUGCCAGCAGCCGCCGUAAGAC